rnacentral:tRNA from 1 species
GUCUUGGUGGCUCAGUCGGUAGAAUAGAAAAGCCGCAAGCGUAGGUCUCAUAAUCCUAAGGUCGUGAGUUCGAUCCUCACCCAAGGCA